rnacentral:tRNA from 1 species
GUUCGAGUAGUGUAAGUUGGAAUACGGCAGUGAAGUUGCUGAGGUGGUGUUUAACCCUUGGACA